AAAGCCUGCGGUUCCAAUUGGAGUCAACGCCCAGAAAUUUUUACCCGGAGAGACAGCAGAAUGAAGGUCAAGCUGAAGACUUUACCAGACAAGCUGAGAGGUGGUGCAUGGCCGUCGCCAGCUCGUGCCGUGAGAUGUCCUGUUAAGUCAGGUAACGAGCGAGAUCCCUGCCUCUAGUUGCCACCAUUACUCUCAGGAGUAGUGGGGCGAAUUAGCGGGACCGCCGCAGUUAAUGCGGAGGAAGGAAGGGGCCACGGCAGGUCAGUAUGCCCCGAAACUCUGGGGCCACACGCGGGCUGCAAUGGUAGCGACAAUUGGUUUCGAAUCCGAAAGGAUGAGGUAAUCCACAAACGCUACCACAGUUAUGACUGAGGGCUGCAACUCGCCCUCACGAAUAUGGAAUCCCUAGUAACUGCGUGUCAUUAUCGCGCGGUGAAUACGUCCCUGCUCCUUGCACACACCGCCCGUCGUUUCAUUGAAGUGAGCUUUUAGCGAGGUGACGUNUAAUUGGC
rnacentral:rRNA from 1 species